rnacentral:snRNA from 1 species
GGGUGUGAGGGCAAUCUUACUGGGAUAUCUGUCACCCCAUUGAUCAUCAGGGUUGAUUCGGCUCAUCUGGCUGCCUAGGCGGGUGUCCUCUUUCUCCCUCAAUGAUCCAUGUGCGUCCCUCCCAAAGAUUGCACUCGGUCGAAGAGGACGAUCACUCCUGAUAGGGGAGGGCCGUUUCUCUGUCAAAGGUGUACAUGUAGCUGCGCUCCCCUGCUAGAACCUCCAAACAAGCUCUCAGGAAACGUCUGUACUGAAGCUCCAUGAAGUAUCAAAGCGUAACUCUUUCUUAAAAGUGGUCAUAA